rnacentral:rRNA from 1 species
GAUGAACGCUAGCGAUAGGCCUAACACAUGCAAGUCGAGGGGCAUCACAUGAAGCAGCAAUGCGGAUGGUGGCGGCCGGCGCACGGGUGAGUAACACGUAUGCAACCUGCCUACAACAGGGGGAUAACCCGUUGAAAGACGGACUAAUACCCCAUAAUACAGGGGUCCCGCAUGGGAAUAUUUGUUAAAGAUUAAUCGGUUGUAGAUGGGCAUGCGUUCCAUUAGCUAGUUGGUGAGGUAACGGCCCACCAAGGCAACGAUGGAUAGGGGAACUGAGAGGUUUAUCCCCCACACUGGUACUGAGACACGGACCAGACUCCUACGGGAGGCAGCAGUGAGGAAUAUUGGUCAAUGGACGCAAGUCUGAACCAGCCACGUCGCGUGAAGGAAGACGGCCCUACGGGUUGUAAACUUCUUUUGUAAGGGAAUAAAGUGUAGUACGUGUACUAUUUUUGCAUGUACCUUACGAAUAAGGAUCGGCUAACUCCGUGCC